rnacentral:rRNA from 1 species
GACGAACGCUGGCGGCGUGCCUAAUACAUGCAAGUAGAACGCUGAAGAGAGGAGCUUGCUCUUCUUGGCUGAGUUGCGAACGGGUGAGUAACGCGUAGGUAACCUGCCUUGUAGCGGGGGAUAACUAUUGGAAACGAUAGCUAAUACCGCAUAACAAUGGAUGACACAUGUCAUUUAUUUGAAAGGGGCAAUUGCUCCACUACAAGAUGGACCUGCGUUGUAUUAGCUAGUAGGUGAGGUAAUGGCUCACCUAGGCGACGAUACAUAGCCGACCUGAGAGGGUGAUCGGCCACACUGGGACUGAGACACGGCCCAGACUCCUACGGGAGGCAGCAGUAGGGAAUCUUCGGCAAUGGGGGCAACCCUGACCGAGCAACGCCGCGUGAGUGAAGAAGAUUUUCGGAUCGUAAAGCUCUGUUGUAAGUCAAGAACGGGUGUGAGAGUGGAAAGUUCACACUGUGACGGUAGCUUACCAGAAAGGGACGGCUAACUACGUG